CCAUGUGGAUUUUGGGUGACGAAAUCGGUGACCUUCGCCAUAAAUACCAGCGGGGACAUUAAGGUCCUUGGUCUCCUUUAGGGCACGGUUAAUUACUAUUUUAGCUGUGAACCGGCCCUCGAUAUCCCAGCCGUCUUCACUAAACACGGCAUUCUGUUACUGAUUACCCGGUUUUACGAUUCGCUCAGUUUUUUCGCACCAAUGAUUUUUUCGGACAAAACCAUUGUGCUACGCACUUGGCAAAAACGGGGUUUUGUGUUCGAAAAUUAUAUGUUCGAAUGCUGUAAGUUCGAACGUCAAGAGUUCGAAAGAUUAUACACUAGAAAGAUAGUAUGUUCGAAAUUAUUGAAAAACAAAAACAAGAGGAAUUAUAAUAUUUAUUAAUUUAUCAUUUGUUUUAAAAUUAAAAUUUCAAAAUUNACUUGGCAAGAACGGGGUUAUGUGAUCGAAAAUUAUAUGUUCGAAUGCUGUAAGUUCGAACGUCAAGAGUUCGAAAGAUUAUACACUCGAAAUAUAGUAUGUUCGAAAUUAUUAAAAAACAAAAACAAUACGAAUUAUAAAAUUUAUUAAUUUAUCAUUUGUUUUAAAAUUAAAAUUUUAAAAAUUCAUACAAUUUAGUGUUAAUAAUUAAUGUAAAUGUUAAUAAAGAAACUCCUAAAAACUUGAAUUGUACGAUAUUCCUCGUACAAACUCAAUAAUACUGAAGCCUGUAUUUUUUAGUCUGAGAACUAAAUUUUUAAUUCUUUGUUCCCGUUUUUCUUUUCUUAUAUGUUCAGCCUUGAAUGAGUUGUUCUAUAGAGUUUUCAGUAUCAUUCUCAAUUUUUUUGAACUGUCUUAUCAACUUGUAAACCCCUGGUUGUUUCGAUACUAAUCUGUGAACAUUUUUUAAGGGUCAUGUUAGGUAAAUAAUUAAAUAACAAUUAUGUUGUUGACCAGAAGUGUGGAUUCCUGAUUAGGUUGAUUAAAUGUUUAGGAACUUCCAUUUCUUACAUGAUGGUCCAUAGUUUCUUUCAUCAAAAGCUUUAUUAUAAUCAAUGAAACACAAUACCAUGAGUUGAUUAAAUUCUCUAAUUUCUUCUAUGAGUUGGUGUAUGUUUAAAAUUUGUUCACCCUCUCCUUUAACCUUGACAAAUCCAGCUUGUUCUGGUGAUAUCUAACUACCUACGUAGUACUUCAGCCUUACAUGGAUGAUGUUCAGUAGGACUUUGGAAGCAUGCGAGAUUAGGGAGAUGGUGCGGUAGUUGUUGCAUUAUUUUUUAUGAAGUGGUUUAAAUAUGAAUUCCACCCAUUCUUUGGNUUAAAUUCUCUAAUUUCUUCUAUGAGUUGGUGUAUGUUUAAAAUUUGUUCACGCUCUCCUUUAACCUUGACAAAUCCAGCUUGUUCUGGUGAUAUCUAUUUACCUACGUAGUACUUCAGCCUCACACGGAUGAUGUUGAGUAGGACUUUGGAAGCAUGCGGGAUUAGGGAGAUGGUGCGGUAGUUAUUGCAUUAUUUUUUAUGAAGUGGUAUAAAUAUGAAUUCCACCCAUUCUUUGGGCCAUGAAUAGCUCAUCACCUUAGCUUGAAAUUCCUAGUGAGCAUCAUAAUUUCUUUGACUUAUUAACACAAGUAUAACAGGCAAAUAUAAGUUUUCCGUUAACCAUAUAAAAUUUCUAUGAAUAUUUGUAACUAAAUUACAAUGAAAAAGCUCUCUAGGAUAAUGGAGCAACUGUUAUAGGUAAUUUAAUGUAUACGUGUAAGCAAACAUUUUUAAUGAUAGAACGGUUCUGAACAGAAUUCAGUUGAUAGUGACGCUUUGUCAACAAUAUACAUGUUAAAUUAUGGUAAAAUAAUUAAAUAGGAAAGAUAUAUUAUCUUUAAUAAUAUUUGUUUAAUAUUGUACAGAUUUUCCUGUUUUUCCUACGGUUUCCUGAAUUUUUCCCAGUUUAUCACUUUGACUGGGAAAACUAUUGGAAUCAAGAAUGAGCUCGUUAAAAGACUUUCCUAGUCAAAUUUCCAUCCAUAAAAAGUGCUUUCAUUGUAAAUUUGAGCAAAAUUGCUGUUAAAAAAGUUGUCUUCAGAAAAAAUUCCGUAACUCAUUAACUACUUUAUUAAUAAUUUCACACAUUUUCCCGUUUUCCCUCCAUUUUUUUGUCUCGGUUUUUCACAUUUGAUGAGAAAACUUUUGAGAAAAUCAAAAAAUAUCUUCCUUAAAGUACCAUCCACCGAAAAUUAUAAUUUCCCUUCGAGAAAGGGUUUAUAUCGUAUAUAUCGGAGUAAGCUUUCUUUAAAAAAAAAAAAAAAAAUACAUCUUUGUAAAACCAUUACAUUCAUCGCUAUACUCAGAAUUUAAAAUUAUAAUGUUACCAAUUAUUAAUAUUUCUUUUUUUUCUCUUUUAACUCUAGGACUAGAUCAGCUAGAAAAAGGUAAGUUUUAUUUUAAAUAUUUCAUAUAGCCGUAUUCAGAAAGCCUAUAUAAUAAGUUAAUGGUGAAUUCAAUACUAUAUUACAUUUUCACUGAUUUCUAAUCUGAAAAAAAUGUUAACCCAUCUUCUUCUUAUUCAUUUGGCCCUUAAUACUCCUAAUAAUUUGAACCGCCAUCACUUAAUCUCUCCAUUUUUCUCGGUCCCUGGCUAAUUCUCUCUGUUCUUGAACUCCCAUUCUUUCCAGGUCUUCUUCCGCUGUGUCUAAUCAUCUUUUCCUUGGUCUAUCUNAAUUUUAUAUCGUAUAUAUCGGAGUAAACUUUCUUUUAAAAAAAAAAAAAAUACAUCUUUGUAAAACCAUUACAUUCAUCGCUAUACUCAAAACUUAAAAUUAUAAUGUUACCAAUAAUUAAUAUUUCUUUUUUUUCUCUUUUUACUCUAGGACUAGAUCAGCUUUUUCUAGCUUGAGGUAAGAUUUAUUUUAAAUAUUUCAUAUAGCCGUAUUCAGAAAGCCUAUAUAAUAAGUUAAUAGUGAAUUCAUUACUGCAUUACAUUUUCAUUGAUUUCUAAUCUGAAAAAAUGUUAACCCAUAUUCUUCUUAUUUAUUUGGCCCUUAAUACUCCUAAGAAUUUUAACUGCCAUAACUUAAUCUCUCCAUUUUUCUCGGUCCCGGGCUAAUUCUCUCUGUUCUUGCACUCCCAUUCUGUCCAGGUCUUCUUCCACUGUGUCUAGUCAUCUUUUCCUUGGUCUAUCUCGGGUUUCUUUACUGUUAGCUUUCAUUCCAGCACUGCUUUAUUAAUAUCAUCCUCAUUUCGCAGCCACACGUUUCAAGCCGUUUUUAUUUGUGAUUUUUUGUCCUCCUAUGAAGUUUACUACUAAAACCAUGUUUAUUUCUUCCUAUAACACCCUGUUAUAUUUUCUUCUCUAUGUUCCUUGUUCAUCAUCAUAUACCGGUCGUACUAAACCUAAUAAAUCAUUUUCCUUCCAAAUUGACAUGAUUUAGUUUCAAGUGUAAAACCCGUUUCAGUUUUCUGAUUUAGUUUUGUCCCAAGUUUAUGUACCUAAUCAUACCACAAUAUCCGUAUUGAGUUUAAACAUCAUCGGUGUACUGNUCCUCCUAUGAAGAUUACUACUAAAACCAUGUUUAUUUCUUCCUAUAACACCCUGUUAUAUUUUCUUCUCUAUGUUCCUUUUUCAUCAUCAUAUACCGGUCGUACUAAACAUAAUAAAUAAUUUUCCUUCCAAAUUGUCAUGAUUUAGUUUCAAGUGUAAAACAGGUUUCAGUUUUAUGAUUUAGUUUUGUCCCAAGAUUAUGUACCUAAUCAUACCACAAUAUCCGUAUUGAGUUUAAACAUCAUCGGUGUACUGUAUUGAAUUAUACUACUUUAAUGAGCUCCAUUUCAUAGUAUCAUGAUUGGGAAUAAUAUAAACUAUUAUAUUCCUAAAUCAUAUUAUUUGUCUAUAAAAUAAAUUCUUUACAUUUAUGAAUAUUAAAUAAUGUAUUAUUUAUAUAAUAAUAACUAUGGCCAAUCAAGAAGUCUGUGCGAAACUGCUCUGUUAUAGUCUUUGCAUUCCUUGAUAUUGUGACUGCACCUCUACACGUCACUGAAAACUGACCAUUGCCCACUUAGUUUAAAACAAUCUCGGCAUAAAUAAAAUUAGUUUACUAUCGAUAUCAAUAAAGCUCAUUAUAAGUAUCAUAUAAUAUAGAUGGGGCAUCUGAAACGAAAUAAUACUCAGAUAACCCAACCUAACCUAACAGAAUAAUGAUCUUUUUCUGUAUUAUAUAGGUACUAUAAAUAAUGUUAUUAUAAUUUAUAAAAAAUUAUAAAGAAACCUAUUAUUAAUAUUCUCUUUUUUUUUUUUUCUAGAACAAACAUCUCAAAAAUAACUACGUAGGUUGUUUUUUUAAAUAUUUCAUAGUCAUUAUAUAUUGUGUUUGUUGAUAUAAAGUUUCUCAACAAAUGUGAAAAAGCGAAAAAAAAAACUGAGGAAAAGAGGGAAAAUGUAUGAAAUAUAGGUAUUAGCUAAAAAUAUUAUGGCCUUCUUUUUUCUUGUGGGCAACUUUUCUGUCAGCAAUUUUCCGACAACUUAUAAUGAUAAAGAAGGAUAAAUCCUAAAAGGAAAUUUCAAUGGAAAGAUACUUAAAAUAAAUUUUUUUCCAAUUUUCUCAGAAGUUCCCAAUAAAUGUAAAAAACCGAAAAAAACGGAGGAAUACCAGAAAAACGGGAUCCAUUUUAAUUUUUAAAUUGGAAUAAUCGGAAUUUUACCAUAAUAUUACAUAUUAUUGUUGACAAAGCAGCACGCCUAGGCUACUGAAAAUUGGUAUAACAUUAAACAAAUAUUAAAUAAAACGUUUUUUUUUUUUUCGAAUCGUUUUUUCGUUAGCAAUGGUUUAUCAUUGCUUACAGGUGUACAUUAAAUUUCUUAAAACGGUGGCUGCGCCCGUCCCUAUUAUCCUANUUCUCAGAAGUUCUCAAUAAAUGUAAAAAACCGAAAAAAACCGAGGAAUACCGGAAAAACAGGAUCCACUUUUAAUUUGGAAUUUGGAAUAAUUAGAAUUUUACCAUAAUAUUACAUAUUAUUGAUAACAAAGCAGCACGCCUAGGCUACUGAAAAUUGGUAUAACAUAAAAUAAAUAUUAAAUAAAACCCAUUUAAUUAUUUUACUAUAAAAUGACAUAUAUAUUGUUGACAUAGCAUCAAUAUCAAUUGAACUCCGUUUAGAAUCGUUUUUUCGUUAGCAAUGGUUUAUCAUUGCUUACAGGUGUACAUUAAAUUUCAUAAAACGGUGGCUGUGCCCGUCCCUAUUAUCCUAGGGCGUCUUUUUAUUAUAUUCUUCGCCUAAUAAUUAACAUAAAAAUACAAUUUUAAAUAACAUAAAAGAAUAUCUACUUAUUAUUUAAUACUUUUUAUAAUAGAUGGCAUUCUAUAGGCAACAAUUGUAUCUUUGAUCGUGGUACCUUAAGCAAGUAUACUUUAAUUUGAUUCAUUAAAUAGACAAAAGGUUUNGUCUUUUUAUUAUAUUCUUCGCCUAAUAAUUAACAUAAAAAUACAAUUUUAAAUAACAUAAAAGAAUAUCUACUAAUUAUUUAAUACUUUUUAUAAUAGAUGACAAUCAAUAGGCAACAAUUGUGUCGUUGAUCGUGGUACCUUAAGCAAGUAUACUUUAAUUUGAUUCAUUAAAUAGACAAAAGGUUUUAGAAGUUUAAAUACAAAUAAAUUAUUGCACAAAUUAAUCAUAUGUUUUCGCUUUUUUUGUACCUACUGAUGAUUUUGUAAAACUAUAACCUGUGGUAAACACACACAACAUUAUACAAUAUUCUAGGCUUUUAUAAUGAUAUUUUAGAUUUUUUAUUUAGACAAAAUUUAUAUGUUGUAUAUAUAAUAUUAUCAUAAACCUCAUAACGUUAACAUUAUUUAACAGUGGUGUAUAUAGGAAAAGGCGCAGUGGGCCAUAGAACCUCUAGAAAUUUCUUUCAAGCACUUUUAAAAUUAACAGGAAUGUGACAUUUUUUUCCGUAAAUCGUCUAAAACAAGUUAAUCAUUUCCUAUAUUAUAUGUUUCAAAUUAAAUACUGAUCAGUGAUUACCCUGUUUAGUAAAAUAUUUUUUAAAGCCAGAGUUUUUGAAUUUCAUUUAUUAUCAUAAUAAUAAAGGUUUUACUAACGGUUAUCUAGAUAAAGGUGGUUUUACCUUAUCAUUAAGACAAAUUAGGUUAAGUUCGAAAACACAGGUAGGUGAUUGUAGCAGAUUGAUGUAAAUAGCACUGUUAAACAGAAACCCACACACAAUCUCUGUCUAUUUUCUCACAUUUGUCUACGAUCGAAACCUAAGUAUUUUCAUCUUCGUUUACACUCAUUCUCUGUUAUAUUUUCUAUACAAUUAGCAGUUACCAUAAUAUUUUUUUUUUUUUUUUUUUAAUCUAGUGCCACAUAGGAUCCAAAGUCUCGAAUUUAUUACAGAAAUAUUACAAUAUUAAAGUUUAAUUAUAUACAUUUCAUGAACCAUUAUGAACAUGGUAGUGUAAUAUGGUAUUUACUAUUUCGCCUAUCGAAUUUUAUUUACUAAUUUAUUAUUAACGAUUACAAUAAUAUUACUGUUACAUUUUUUUCAUAAUAUUUUAAGUACAUUAUCUAUAACAUUUAUUAUUGUACUAUUACAUAUUAAAUAUCAUCUAUCUUAUAAGUUUAAUGAUAUUAAAUGCGAUUGAUAAUACAAAACGUUUAAUUUUAUUGAUCUAUCACAAAUUUACAAUUUAUU